AGGUUCACCCAUUGGUCAGGCUUAAUUGUCUGCACUGGUGAGAUGAAUCUCUACCUUCUGAGGAACUUUCAUGCCAUUUAUUUGGUGUGAUUGGAAAUCAGGACUGUUACUUUGAAAAAAUUAGAGUGUUUAAAGCAGGCAUUAGCUUGAAUACAUUAGCAUGGAAUAAUGAAAUAGGACGUUUGACCCUAUUUUGUUGGUUUCUAGGAUUGACGUA
rnacentral:rRNA from 1 species